rfam:Gossypium raimondii Chr07_contig_1316, whole genome shotgun sequence.
UGUUAAAAAUAAUUUCAUUUAUUUGUACAGUUUAAAACUGGCUUUUUUGGCAAAAUAACUAGACAAUGACAUAUGGUGUGCCACAUGUAGGUCAUGUUGCCAUGCACACAUCAGUUUUAAAAGUAGAAAUGGAUAAAAAAAUUUUAACA